CAGGCCUAACACAUGCAAGUCGAACGGGGAUGUAAGCUUCGGUUUAUAUCCCAGUGGCGGACGGGUGAGUAGCACGUGGGAACCUACCUUGUAGAGCGGGAUAACUAUGGGAAACUAUAGCUAAUACCGCAUAUACUCCACCAUAAGUGGAGGAAAGAUUUAUCGCUACAAGAUGGGCCCGCGCCGGAUUAGGUAGUUGGUGGGGUAAAGGCCUACCAAGCCGAUGAUCCGUAGCUGGUUUGAGAGGAUGACCAGCCACACUGGGACUGAGACACGGCCCAGACUCCUACGGGAGGCAGCAGUGGGGAAUCUUGGACAAUGGGGGCAACCCUGAUCCAGCGAUGCCGCGUGAGUGAAGAAGGCCUUCGGGUUGUAAAACUCUUUCACCUGCGAAGAUAAUGACGGUAGCAGGAUAAGAAGCACCGGCAAACUCUGUGCCAGCAGCCGCGGUAAU
rnacentral:rRNA from 1 species